ensembl:lncRNA
CUCCAAUAUUCCCUUUAGUUUCUGAUAGAAUAAAUAAAAUGUUCUAUGUGCAGAGACCCGCGUAUGUAACUGCCUUUAAUUCAGCGCCAUUAACAACACGGGUCUCCAAAAUAUCCACACGGAAACAUGUUGUAAACUAAGCUAACGUUCGGUCCAUUAGCUGUAGGGAGCUAACGUUAACGUUUACUUUAUCUUUAUUUCGGGCUCUUAGCCUCUUGAAUGAAUACCUGAGUCGGGUAUUAAAUGGAUUUUCGUCUAAACCUGAACGCUCUGAAGUUCGCUUCUGGAAGUUCCGUUGUUGUGAUUAUACAAAAAAAGUUGUUUAUCUCCCAACGUUCGGUGAAAGUGCCGUCGGCGCCAUUUUGUUUCCCCAAUUUCCGAGACAAAUUUGGACGAAAUUAUCCAUUUAAGCAAAAUUAAAAAUACCAUUUGAAUCCCUAUACAUGUGUUGACACAUUACACACGGUCCCUGCCAUAAAAAACACACUUUUGACGUUUAAUUACCAUUUUACACGGAAGAAACUCCAGAUGUGCCCCAAAUCAGUUUCUCCAUAAUUUGCUAGCUUAAAUUCAGAACAUUCCAUUUCUUAAUAUUCAACAUUUAACGUUAUUACGUGCAAUUUUUGUACUGAGGGGCUCCACCGCAGGGGGUCCACUGGAAGACAUCGUCUCCUCCACGUAACACUCGUAACACAGCUACACUCGUCAAGUUCAACAGCAGAAGUGAAUUCAGAAUGGCCAGCAGCGUUCAGGUGACCUCAGUGAAACGUCACCGUCCUGUUGCCAUGGCGUUUACUCACCGCUGUGCGUGAGGCGGUUU